UACGUAGGGUGCGAGCGUUAAUCGGAAUUACUGGGCGUAAAGCGUGCGCAGGCGGUUUUGUAAGCCAGAUGUGAAAUCCCCGGGCUUAACCUGGGAAUGGCAUUUGGGACUGCAAGGCUUGAGUGCGGCAGAGGAGACUGGAAUUCCUGGUGUAGCAGUGAAAUGCGUAGAUAUCAGGAGGAACACCGAUGGCGAAGGCAGCCCCCUGGGUCAAUACUGACGCUCAUGCACGAAAGCGUGGGGAGCAAACAGG
rnacentral:rRNA from 1 species